rnacentral:rRNA from 1 species
AACGAACGCUGGCGGCAUGCCUAACACAUGCAAGUCGAACGAGACCUUCGGGUCUAGUGGCGCACGGGUGCGUAACGCGUGGGAACCUGCCCUUAGGUUCGGAAUAACUCCCCGCAAGGGGUGCUAAUACCGGAUAAUGUCUUCGGACCAAAGAUUUAUCGCCUUUGGAUGGGCCCGCGUUGGAUUAGCUAGUUGGUGGGGUAAAAGCCUACCAAGGCGACGAUCCAUAGCUGGUCUGAGAGGAUGAUCAGCCACACUGGGACUGAGACACGGCCCAGACUCCUACGGGAGGCAGCAGUGGGGAAUAUUGGACAAUGGGCGAAAGCCUGAUCCAGCAAUGCCGCGUGAGUGAUGAAGGCCUUAGGGUUGUAAAGCUCUUUUACCCGGGAUGAUGAUGACAGUACCGGGAGAAUAAGCUCCGGCUAACUCCGUG